rnacentral:lncRNA from 1 species
AGCUGUUAUACAAUUUAUUAAUAAAAUUAAUUAAUUAUAUAUAUAAUUAAUUAUAUAUAUGUGUGUGUGCGGCGGGUGUGUGUGUGAGUGUGAGAGAGAGAAUGAAGUGGAGGGUUGGGGGACAGGUGUCACUAUAUGUGUGUGUGUGAGAGAGAGAGAGAGAGAGAAUGAAGUGGAGGGUUGGGAGACAGGUGUCACCCUGAGGUUCCCCCAACUGCCCAACCCUUCUUUAAUGUAAUAGUAAGUUUAUAUAUAUCUAUAUUAUAUAUAAAAACACGUAUUUCAAAUUUGGGUCUGUCGACAGACCCAUUUUUUGGAGGGAAAAAAAUAUUGUUUCCUCUUUCCUUACGUAAAAUAAAUAACGUAAUAAAACAAACUUUUAAUUUCUAUUUAUCUCUAAAAUAGAAAAAAAAUACU